rnacentral:rRNA from 1 species
UUGGAGGGCAAGUCUGGUGCCAGCAGCCGCGGUAAUUCCAGCUCCAAUAGCGUAUAUUAAAGUUGUUGCAGUUAAAAAGCUCGUAGUUGAAUUUCGGGGUUAGUAGGUUGGUCAUGCCACUGGUAUGUACUGGUCUCACUGAUUCCUCCUUCCUGAUGAGACGUAAUGCCAUUAAUUUGGUGUUGCGAGGAAUCUGGACUGUUACUUUGAAAAAAUUAGAGUGUUUAAAGCAGGCUAACGCUUGAAUACAUUAGCAUGGAAUAAUGAAAUAGGACGUUCGAUCUUAUUUUGUUGGUUUCUAGGAUUGACGUAAUGAUUAAUAGGGAUAGUUGGGGGCAUUAGUAUUCAAUUGUCAGAGGUGAAAUUCUUGGAUUUAUUGAAGACUAACUACUGCGAAAGCAUUUGCCAAGGAUGUUUUCAUUAAUCAAGAACGAAAGUUAGGGGAUCGAAGACGAUCAGAUACCGUCGUAGUCUUAACCAUAAACUAUACCGACUAGGGAUCGGAUGAUGUUAAUUUUAUAAUGACUCAUUCGGCGCCUUACGGGAAAC